CGAAAGCGUGGGGAGCAAACAGGAUUAGAUACCCUGGUAGUCCACGCCGUAAACGAUGAGUACUAAACGUUGGGUAAAACCAGUGUUGAAGUUAACACAUUAAGUACUCCGCCUGAGUAGUACGUACGCAAGUAUGAAACUUAAAGGAAUUGACGGGACUCCGCACAAGCGGUGGAUCAUGUUGUUUAAUUCGAAGGUACCCGAAAAACCUCACCAGGUCUUGACAUGCUUCUGCAAAGCUGUAGAAACACAGUGGAGGUUAUCAGUUGCACAGGUGGUGCAUGGUUGUCGUCAGCUCGUGUCGUGAGAUGUUGGGUUAAGUCCCGCAACGAGCGCAACCCUUAUUGUUAGUUACCAGCACGUAAUGGUGGGGACUUUAGCAAGACUGCCAGUGAUAAAUUGGAGGAAGGUGGGGACGACGUCAAAUCAUCAUGCCCCUUAUGACCUGGGCUACAAACGUGAUACAAUGGCUGUUACAAAGGGUAGCUGAAGCGCAAGUUUUUGGCGAAUCUCAAAAAAACAGUCUCAGUUCGGAUUGAAGUCUGCAACUCGACUUCAUGAAGUUGGAAUCGCUAGUAAUCGCGAAUCAGCAUGUCGCGGUGAAUACGUUCUCGGGGUUUGUACACACCGCCCGUCAAACCACGAAAGUUGGCAAUACCCAAAGCCGGUGGCCUAACUUCGCAAGAAGAGGGAACCGUCUAAGGUAGGGUCGAUG
rnacentral:rRNA from 1 species